GAGGGUAUAGCUCAAGAGGUAGAGCGCAUGCUUAGCGCGCACGAGGUCCUGAGUUCAAUCCCCAGUACCUCCU
rnacentral:tRNA from 1 species